rnacentral:rRNA from 1 species
AGAGUUUGAUCCUGGCUCAGGAUGAACGCUGGCGGCGUGCUUAACACAUGCAAGUCGAACGAACCUUCGGGUUAGUGGCGGACGGGUGAGUAACGCGUGGGAAUCUGCCCUCAGGAGGGGGAUAACGGCUGGAAACGGCCGCUAAUACCCCAUAUGCCGAGAGGUGAAAUGAAUUUCGCCUGAGGAUGAGCCCGCGUCUGAUUAGCUAGUUGGUGAGGUAAGAGCUCACCAAGGCAUCGAUCAGUAGCUGGUCUGAGAGGAUGAUCAGCCACACUGGGACUGAGACACGGCCCAGACUCCUACGGGAGGCAGCAGUGGGGAAUUUUCCGCAAUGGGCGAAAGCCUGACGGAGCAACGCCGCGUGAGGGAUGAAGGCCUCUGGGCUGUAAACCUCUUUUCUCAAGGAAGAAGAUCUGACGGUACUUGAGGAAUAAGCCACGGCUAAUUCCGUGCCAGCAGCCGCGGUAAUACGGGAGUGGCAAGCGUUAUCCGGAAUUAUUGGGCGUAAAGCGUCCGCAGGCGGCCCUUCAAGUCUGCUGUUAAAACGUGGAGCUUAACUCCAUCAUGGCAGUGGAAACUGUUGGGCUUGAGUGUGGUAGGGGCAGAGGGAAUUCCCGGUGUAGCGGUGAAAUGCGUAGAUAUCGGGAAGAACACCAGUGGCGAAGGCGCUCUGCUGGGCCAUAACUGACGCUCAUGGACGAAAGCCAGGGGAGCGAAAGGGAUUAGAUACCCCUGUAGUCCUGGCCGUAAACGAUGAACACUAGGUGUCGGGGGAAUCGACCCCCUCGGUGUCGUAGCCAACGCGUUAAGUGUUCCGCCUGGGGAGUACGCACGCAAGUGUGAAACUCAAAGGAAUUGACGGGGGCCCGCACAAGCGGUGGAGUAUGUGGUUUAAUUCGAUGCAACGCGAAGAACCUUACCAGGGUUUGACAUCCUGCGAAUCUCUUGGAAACGAGAGAGUGCCUCCGGGAACGCAGUGACAGGUGGUGCAUGGCUGUCGUCAGCUCGUGUCGUGAGAUGUUGGGUUAAGUCCCGCAACGAGCGCAACCCACGUCUUUAGUUGCCAGCAUUUAGUUGGGCACUCUAGAGAGACCGCCGGUGAUAAACCGGAGGAAGGUGUGGAUGACGUCAAGUCAUCAUGCCCCUUACAUCCUGGGCUACACACGUACUACAAUGCUACGGACAAAGAGCAGCAAGUUCGCGAGGACAAGCAAAUCUCAUAAACCGUGGCUCAGUUCAGAUCGUAGGCUGCAACUCGCCUACGUGAAGGAGGAAUCGCUAGUAAUCGCAGGUCAGCAUACUGCGGUGAAUACGUUCCCGGGCCUUGUACACACCGCCCGUCACACCAUGGAAGUUGGCCACGCCCGAAGCCGUUACUCCAACCCUUGUGGAGGAGGACGUCGAAGGUGGGGCUGAUGACUGGGGUGAAGUCGUAACAAGGUAACCGUA